UAUAAAGUUACAUUCCAAUAAAACGUAAAAAUAAAAAGUGUAUUAACGAUUUACAAAAAAUAAAUUAGCAAAAAUGAAGUAGAAUUAUAUUCAUUACUUCCGCCAUUUUUUUUCAGUCAACAACAAAUCAUCGACGCUAAGAUACUUACAUUAUAACAAAUCUGUAUAGCGAUGAAAUACUCAUCAAUCCUAUUAUUAAUAAUGAUGAUAUCCAUAAACCUGAUAAGAAUGGACGAAACAACAGAACACACUGACAUUAUACCUGACGGAUCAGAAACCACAGAAUUCUGGACCACAGA